rnacentral:hammerhead_ribozyme from 1 species
GCACUGCUGAGGAGUCUCAUAGUAGGACGAAACGGCCGUUCAGUGC